AUGCCAAAAUACACAAAGUAAUGUCCUAAACAAACUCCAGUAAGUUCUCAGAAUUCUUUCUUUCUUUGCCUAUCUGUAAAUGUCAAUUAUUGAUGGAAAGAUUUUUCCCAUCCGUUGGUGUGUACGGUGAAAUCGACAUUGACUGAUAAAGAUCAAUCCUUCCAAACCUCUGUACACAGUUUCCAGCCCCAAUCUCAGCAAGUCAGUACUACUACUCACUCCCUGUUACACAUCCAAGGCUCUCAUUAGUAAGGCUAAGAUUUUGUCAGGUAAUUUUAGUAAAAGUCACAGAUAAGUCACGGCAAUAGCAAAAAUUCAUGGAAACCCUGAAUCCAUGACCUGUCUGUGACUUUUACUAAAAGAACCAUGUCAAAAUGGGGAGUGGGGUCCAGCACACAGGCCGCUAUGCUCUGGGUCCCCCCUGCCAGACCCUGGGAGCUGAGAGCUCUGGGGACCCACUGGCUGGCAGCUUCAGCCUGCUGCCGGGGGUGAAGCAGAAAAUGUCACUGAGGUCUCUGGAAGAAGUCACGGAUUCGUGCACUCUGGACAUAAUUCUAGCCUUAACUAUAUAGUCACAAAAAAGCAGGCAGAAGAAUCUCUUCAACGUCAUUAUGGGUCUGGGUGUCUUGGGCCCCCGGAAUGCUGGAGUCAGCUGGCUCGGCAUGGACCCUUCCAGCGCUGCAGGGCGGGGCUGUUUCUUUAAGAGAAAACACAUCUGCUCACAUGACCCCCGUGUGACUUUACUUCCGCUUUCCAUCCCGGGCAGCGCUGCGAGGGGGAGGCCGGGUCUGCGCUUGGACACAGGUUCCUUCCAAAGGGAGGGAAAGCUGGGAAACCGCCGCGAUCUGCUAGCCAGGGAAUUAGCCCUGCAUGGGAUAAACUGAAAAGUCACAAUGUGAAUCAUCGCGCCAAAACGGAUGAGUCUGAUCACACCCUGGAGAUCGUCAAACUUCAGAAGGCCAGUCAGGAAUGUUUUAUUCAAGAACCCUGGACUCGAUCUUGUUCUCAGUGACUCCAGGGAGAUUUGUACAAAUAACUCCUGUAUUGAGAAUUUGGAAGAGAUUUACGGUGUCACUCCCAGCUAUUGUGUCCUUCUGCCUGUUAACGUAUAAUUUUCUACUCUGACUGUGGGGCUGAACUUUGUUUUGAUACUUUCAAGAGAAAAAAGGAAAAUUAUUUCCACAGUCAAUCAAACAGAAAGUUGCAUCCUGUUCUCCUUCUGAAAUGAAAGGCAAUUCUGCAUGUGACUAACGCAGACCUGUGCUCAAGUGUACUGCUGAAAGGGAUUUCGUGACAUAUUAAAAAGAGGCUUAUUAUACAUCGUUGACAGAUUCUCUCCUACGUGUGAACGGUCAGGGAGAGAUUUCCUGAGGAUAUCGAUAGGACUAAAAGUGAAAUAGUGUUUUACAAUUAAUUUUUUUACUACAACAAUAGUUUGUUUGUUUGAAUAUUUUAUAGAUUUCCAUUUUUAAUCAAAUAUUAUUGAAACAUAAUCAUUUUUCUUUUUCAAUCAUUGUUCUUCUUUUAGCAAGAAUAGGGAAGGGUUAAUAAAAUGUUUGGAUUUUAUUAGAAUUCUAUUUUGAAUCAAUUUGAACUAUAUAUUCUCAUUUAGUUUCAUUUCAUUGAAAUUGGAAACAUUCAAGUAAUAGAAAAAUUCAUUUUUAAUUUUUUUCUAAAAGUCAUUCUAUUGAAAAAAAUUUUGUUUAAACAUUUUUGAGAGCUACAGUGUUGUCAGCUCACACAAUUUUUUGUGAAUUUUUUUUUGGCAUUUUAUUUUAAUUCUCACACUACCUGCUAAUUUUCCUAAAGCCCCAAAUCUCUAGCUUUAUGAUUAUGUGAGAAUCUCAGAUAUCAUUUAAGUAAAAACUAAAAUUCUCGCCCUCAUGACAAAGUUUAGGAAUAUGACCUUGAGUGCACCCUGAGGAGUCACAAACCAAAAGGCAAAAAAUGAGAACUUAAAAUGUAUCAUUAUCAUUAGAAUUUUACAGUUCAUUAUUUUUAAGUCAGUCUCAUCUCUGUUUUUUGACCUGAUCUGAUUUUGUGUGUGUGUGUGAUUAUUUUUUAAUUGAUUUUCAUAAAAAAACAGGCAUUGCAAAAUAGAAAAAAAGUAAUUGAAGUACAGUUUCCAUCUUUUCCUGAAUACCUCAUUCUUCCUGGGUUGUCCUAUGAAAUUGUACAAUUUUACAGUUUAUCAAAGCUACAAGACCAGACAACACAAAACCAGACAAUACCACACAGACAUAACAUAUUAGGGAGGGCAUAACACUGACUGUUGAGUUUUGAAUAUUGGGGUUGGCAGUGCUGCAGCUCUGUUUUCAAAACAAACAAACAAAUUUGAGAUUGGUACAAUAAUUCAUCCAAACUCCACAAACCAAGGAAUCAUGUUUAUUAAUUUCACCCCUCAAAGUGUUGUUUUUCUUUGGCAACAAAGGUCUGAAGAAACAUCAGACACUCAGCGUGGAUGAAAAUUGAUUUCAUUUUUAAAAGCCUGAGUUUAAAAUGACUCGGGGCCUUCUUCCUGGUCCAGCAAAUGGACAGAACCCUGGUCCCCCGAGGGCCCCAAUCCUUAUGGGAGGAUUGGAAGGACUUGGCCUGCUGAGGCCUCAUAACAUUGAGUGCUUGUUCUGAGCUGAAGCUCUGAUGAACUUGAACCACAAGGAAACUCCUAGGGUGGAGGGAUGCCUGGUGAGCUUAUGAGCUUGUGUGUAGAUCCUUCCAUUGUAUUUAAUUCAUCUUUUUAGCUUAAGAAUAAAGCUAAACUUGCUUAGG